AACGUAGGAGGCAAGCGUUAUCCGGAGUUACUGGGCGUAAAGCGCAUGUAGGCGGUUGGGCAAGUGGCGUGUGAAAGCUCCCGGCUAAACUGGGAGACGACAGGUCAGACUGCCGGACUGGAGUCCGAUAGAGGAGCGUAGAAUUCCGGGUGUAGCGGUGAAAUGUGUAGAGAUCCGGAAGGAAUACCAGUGGCGCGAAGCGGCGCUCUGGGUCGGGACUGACGCUGGAGAUGCGAAAGCGUGGGGAGCGAACGGG
rnacentral:rRNA from 1 species